AUAGCCAACAAAUUAAUCUUUCGCCAAUCAGGACAAGGGUUUAAUAAGUAAAAAGAAAUGUUAUUAUCUCUUCUGUAAAUACACAAGAUUAGUGCAAGCUCUCAUAAAUUUGUUUACUGUAAAGAAUGAGAUUAGUUUCUUAUUAUUGAUAGACCUGAUCCAUGAUAACUAUCCCAUAGUCCUGGACAAAGGUAAUUUGAGCUCAGAUAUCUGAACCCUGCCUGCUUGUGCUUGGAACAUAGAAGCCAGUUUGGAAACCUUGUCCAUCUAAUGGCACUUGGGGUGUAAUUUCAGGAGGAGGCAUCACUACUUACCAGGGGCUCCAUCUUCAACAGCUCAGUCACCAGGAGCCUUUCUCACGAUUUCACUCACAGCCAAUCCAAGCACAAGGCAGGUCAAUCUGAGGAUGAAGAAGAAGCCUUGAGACUCCAGACUUCCAGACCCAUCAGAAUUCAAGCCCCAACCUUCACCUGGACAUGACCCCCAGCCCCUCAAACCGAAAUAAGUGAUGCACCCUAAGAAUCUUCUCUGCAGGAUCACAGGUCACCUCUGGUGUCCAGGAAAUGUUGAUACUGGCCUGGAAGUCCUGAAGAAAGUGACCACCUCUCUCGGGCAACUGCAGAACUUUUCAUUGAACUGUCCUUUGGUGAGAAUACACACGAAGACAGGGUGACCAAGUUCCAGACAAUGGAACCCCAGGUGAGUAGGACGUGCUCCUUCUUGUGAAUUGAUACCUAUCCUUUCUUUUUUCCCUGGGGAUGAGUGGGUUUUGAGUCUUGGCCUGGAUUUCCUGGGGCCCCCAUGAAAUUAAAUUACUGUCAGUCAUUUUUCCUCAGGACUCUGGGAGGCUUAGGGCAGGUUGGGGACUAAUUGAGAAAUAAUUCCCUACCCAGUAUUUACACUGCUUUACUCCAUUCCUCACUCCCUUAAGGAUGUCCUUGAAGAAAAGGUAAAAAGUUGUUUCUUUGAAUGUAUCCCAUGUUAGUGUCUGCAGUGGGCUUAGGCAUGUGGUGAACAUAGGCAGCAGAAAUGAGUAAGAGCAAAAGUGUCUAGUCCUGCAGGGAGGCAGCUGUUUGUUUUUCAAGUGAGUUUAGUCCAUCCAGUAAUUUGGAUGCUGCAGAGGAGGGCUCUGCAGCAUGGAGAUUGGGGUGAGAGGAGGCAAGCAAGAGAGCAAUAAGGAAUCAUUAUUUUCCCCCAAUUUUAAAUUUAUUCAAAAUUUUAUAGAAUAUACUUGCACAUUUAAAUAACUUAAAAAAAGAAAAAAAAAAUCUCCUUAUCCUUUUUGUCCCCAACAACCCAGUUUCCUUCUUUGUAAUCAAAACUGCAAACAGAAAGAAAUGUCUGGUACUGUUUUAUUAUUUUGGGCUGUGCAUUAAGAAGAAGGAUUAUAUCAGCAUAAACCUAGGGUCCUGUAGCAGUUUUUGAAGGGCUGGAAAGAUCAGGUUCCACUGAGAGGCCUCUAUUUCCUGUUAGCAUAUAAACAGCUUGGUGGUACAGGAGGGACCUUGAUAACCCAUGCUUGAAGGUCCUAGAGAAGAUGGAGAUGCAAGGUCCCAUCACAGGAGGGUCGGGUCAGGACAAUCCUUCUGUGUAGCAGUUCUAGGGCCCCUUGGGGUUUGCUUCUGAACUGUACGUCUUAUUCUGCAUCAUGAACAUAUGAGUUGUGCAGAGAUGGGAGAAGCCACCUAAUUAUCACGUUCUCCAGGAGAGUGUUCAGUUCUGCAGAAUUUGGCCAUUGCUUUGCCAGAUUAUUUCCACUACAGUUACCUCAUUCACUGUAAUGAGAUUUUGUUUUCAAAGAAAGUGAAAGUGAAAGUGACUCAGUCGUGUCCGACUCUUUGCGACCCCAUAGGUUGUACAGUCCCUGGAAUUCCCCCGGCCAGAAUACUGGAGUGGGUAGCCUUUCCUUUCUCCAGGGGAUCUUGCCAACCCAGGGAUCGAACCCAGGUCUCCUGUAAUGCAGGAGGAUUCUUUACCAGCUGAGCCACCAGGGAAAGCAUUUUGUUUUCAAAGUGGUGCAUCUGUGAGUAUGUGUGAGAGACACACAGCAUGUCAGCCUAGAGAAAUGUUUGACCAGAACCCCAAACAAGGUUGAGCUUUUUCUUACACAGCAAUCUAACCACAGCCCUACUGCAUACAGUAUCUUUCCAUGGCACUUCGUGGGGAAGGCCCUGGCUGCACAAAAUGUCCAUGUUUUAGGAAACAGUGACCCUCAAGGAUAUGGCUGUAGACUUCACCGAGGAAGAGUGGGCCCUGCUGGACACCUCCCAGA
ensembl:lncRNA